GCCUGGCUGGCUCAGUCAGUAGAGCAUGUGACUCUUGAUCUUGGGGUUGUGAGUUCAAGCCCCAUGUUGGACG
rnacentral:tRNA from 1 species